CUAUAAAUAAGGACCUCUUGUAUUGUAUUGUUCAUCUAAUAUCAAUAACAUAUUUUCUCCCGUGCCUUCUCACACUUGCUAACACAAAAGUGAACUAGGAACAAAGUGUAAGGCAAUGUGAUUUACUAAAAUUGUUAUGAUUAGUUUGUAGAUUUCCAUGGUAUGUUUUUUCAGGUAUCCCUAGGUCUUCUUCUGACAGUGUGCUUCUUCCUUAUAGUUUGUGCUUUUCAGAUCUAUUAUUUUGCCAUACCUCCAUUCAUCUCACCACAGUUUUGUGCUUGUAUGGGAACAAUUUCAAGCAUGUAGAGCAGUUCAUGAAUGAAGUUGUGAUUUUAACUAAGCUCCGCCACCAGCACCUCGUGACAUUAUACGGGUGCACAUCAAAACGAAGCCGAGAUUUACUGCUUGUUUAUGAGUACAUAUCAAACGUGACAGUGGCAGAUCAUCUGCAUGGAAAUCGGGCCAAAUCUGGUUUACUCUCUUGGCCUGUCCGAAUGAACAUAGCCAUUGAGACUGCUGAUGCUCAGGCUUAUCUCCACUCCUCAAUUAUAAUACACCGUGAUGUCAAAACCAACAACAUUCUAUUAGACAAUGAUUUCCAUGUGAAAGUUUUUGAUUUUGGGCUAUCAAGAUUGUUCCCAAAUAAUGUCACACAUGUCUCUACUGCUCCACAGGGUACACCAGGCUACGUUGAUUCUGAGUACUACCAAUGUUACCAGCUGACCAAAAAGAGUGAUGUCUAUAGUUUUGGGGUGGUCUUGAUAGAGCUGAUCUCAUCAUUACAAGCUGUGGAUACCAACAGGCACCACCAUGAUAUUAAUUUGGCUAAUAUGGCUGUCAACAAAAUCCAAACUCAUUCAGUACAUGAAUUAGUUGAUCCAAGUCUUGGAUUCAUGACAAACAGCUCUGUGAGGAGGAUGACUACAUUAGUCGCUGAGUCAGCUUUCCGAUGUCUGCAACAAGAAAGGGAUAUGAGACCUUCAAUGCAAGAAGUGCUGAAGACUCUGAGAGGCAUCCAGAAUGGGGAGUCAAUGCACACAAGGCUGAGGUCUUGACAUUGUGGUAGAUGAUGUUGGGCUCCUAAAGGGCUCGGGUUCCCCUUCCUCACCAUAUUCCAGUGGAUGAACUAUCAUUUUCAGUUAUCUUGGUAUACUACGAUAUGGUCUCUGGGAGAUUAUCUACUGCUGUUCGCAUAAGGAAUGUAAAUAUUGAAUGGAGCUGCCAACAUUCUAGUAUAUAUGCGCUGUAACUUUUAUGCUGCCAGGGGGUGAAGUUUAUGAAACACGUGGCUGGUAGUCUGACAACAAGGAAAAAUCAAUUAGUUGAGGAGCGAAAUGGCAUCAAUGGGGUGUGCACUCUUGAGAAAGGCUUGUCCAAUUGAAUAAAGAUAAUGAAAAGAGAUACACCUGUGUACUUCACCUGUCUACUCUCUGACUGUGUAGCACAUAUUCUAGUUUAUGUAUUAAAUGAGCUCUGGUUUUACUUUUCUGACCAUUGGACAAUAUCCUUCAGCCUGCUUGCUGUAGAAGAAAUGUUGACAAUUCAGGUUUUUCCCAACUGUUAGUUAUUGUUUUGAGUCUGCAAUGUCUCUUCUCUUAUGUAACUAUUGUUAAUUUACAGCAUGUAUACAGUGUAGUAUUGUCCCACAUUGGUAGAGGAGUAGUAUGUCCUUGUAUAGUAUAGCUAUAAAUAAGGACCUCUUGUGUAGUAUUAUUCAUUCAUUCAAUAUAUCAAUAACAUAUUUUCUCCCGUGCCUUCUCACA